ACUGGGAGCGUGGCGUCUCCUGUAAUCCUUCUACUCGGAGGUCGGGUACGGAGGAUGGUUUGAGGUCGGGACUCACUGGCGCUGAGUGGCCCAUGUUGACUGGACGUCCGCACUAAGCCUGGUGUUAAUAUGGACUCCCCUGGGGGAGUGCAGGUUAACUAAGGAGGGGCGAACCGGGCCAGGGGGGAAUGGAUAGUUAGAGACAUUUUCGAACAUGCUGUAUUUUCGAACCCACAUGAUUCUGUAGGUGUCAGAGAUACACCUGUUAUUCUCGGCCAAUAGGAUCGCUGUACACUC
rnacentral:SRP_RNA from 9 species